rnacentral:rRNA from 3 species
AGGUGCCUAUAUCGGCGGUGUCCACCUCUUCCCAUUCCGAACAGAGAAGUUAAGCCCGCCAGAGCCGAUGGUAUUGCCGUAACAGGUGGGAGAGUAGGUCGGUGCCUAAUU